CUUAACGGAGUUUUUUAAAGUAUGUUUUUGUACCGAAAGGUUUUGAUCUUAGAUUUAGUUGUUUAGAAGUGUUGUUUGGCCUGGGUAAGGUCUUGUAAACUAAAUUUAUGUGGUGAUAAGUGAGUCGUAAAGCUUUAUAACUGUUUGGUUGUUUAGAAUUUAGUGGGAUGUAGGUGGCUAUUAGGUCAUUUAUAUUUUUAUACAUUUGGUGAUGUGUGGUUUUUGAUAAGGUUAGAGGUACCUAGUUUUUGUUAUAUUGUUGUAAAUAUGGUUUUGUUGGUUUAUUGGUAUGUUAAUUGUUUGAACAACUGUUUUGCUAUAUUUGGUUAUUAUAUUAUCGUUGAAUAAGUAAUUUUAUUAUGCUAUUUAUUUCUUGAGUUCUUUCCGUCUGUUUAUUAAAAACAUUUCUAAUUUUAAUUGUAGUUAGUAGUGCCUGCCCAAUGUUGGUUAAUUAAUGGCCGCAGUAUAUUGACUGUGCAAAGGUAGCAUAAUUAAUUGCCUUUUAAUUGGAGGCUUGUUUGAAUGGUUUGACGUGAUUGGUAUGAAUAUUUGGUAUUUAGUUGAAAUUGAUUUUGAGGGUUUAGAAUCCUUAAUGUUUAAUAAGACGGAAAGACCCUAGGAUCUUUUGUUUUUGUUUGGGGCAAAUAUUGUUGUUUUAUGAAUAUUGUGACCCU
rnacentral:rRNA from 1 species